rnacentral:lncRNA from 1 species
AGGGGACUCGUCGGAGUCGAUGGUGACAAAGGUUGGAGUAGAAAAACGGUGUUGACGACGAUUUUACCACUGAGGGUGGUUCUUGCGCUGCGCGGUCACGAGUGCGUACCAUGGUGGGGUGGUGCAAUGGUUUCUUGGAGGUCUGUUUAAAGAUUGUAAAAAAAGUGACAGUGUUGAAGGUGAAGGGAAAUUAAAGAAAGAAAGAAGAGUUUGAAAAAGAUUUUGAAUUUGUGUUUCUAUGUUUCUUUGGCCGGUCAAAUGGGGGGUAAUGGGUUGUGUGUGAUUUUUUAUUUUAGGGUGAAAAGAAAGCUAGGAUGUGAUAGGUGAAAGGCUAGGAUUUGAUGGGUGUAAGGGUUUUUGUUUUUAUUUGAAAGGAGUGGUCUGUUGGGGGGGAAUUUGGUGAGUUAAUAUGGGGUAGUGGGGUUUGUUUUUCUAGGUGAAAAGUUUGAUUUGAUGGGUGCAAGGGUUUUUGUUUUUUUUUUGUUUUUUUUUAAUUGGGAAAUGGAUGGACGGUUGGGUUGGAAAAUUUUGGGUUUAUGGGCUAGCUUAGAUUGAUUUUAAAAUGGUGGACAUGUAGUGUGGGCCUUGGCUGAAAAAUAAAAAGAAUUUGUGAGUUGACAUGUGGGAUUUUAAUUUUGUCUUGGAAUGUUUUCCUGUAAAAAUAGAAAUAAAAUAAAAAUAAAAUAAAAUAGUAAUAAUAAUAAUAAUAGAAAAAUAAAAAUGUUCUUUUUUUUUCAAAUUUAUUGGCUAAGCUAUAAACUCGAGAAAUAAAUUAUUAAAACCA